AUUGAACGCUGGCGGCAGGCCUAACACAUGCAAGUCGAACGGUAACAGGAAGAAGCUUGCUUCUUUGCUGACGAGUGGCGGACGGGUGAGUAAUGUCUGGGAAACUGCCUGAUGGAGGGGGAUAACUACUGGAAACGGUAGCUAAUACCGCAUAACGUCGCAAGACCAAAGAGGGGGACCUUCGGGCCUCUUGCCAUCGGAUGUGCCCAGAUGGGAGUAGCUAGUAGGUGGGGUAACGGCUCACCUAGGCGACGAUCCCUAGAUGGUCUGAGAGGAUGACCAGCCACACUGGAACUGAGACACGGUCCAGACUCCUACGGGAGGCAGCAGUGGGGAAUAUUGCGCAAUGGGCGCAAGCCUGAUGCAGCCAUGCCGCGUGUAUGAAGAAGGCCUUCGGGUUGUAAAGUACGUUCAGCGGGGAGGAAGGGAGUAAAGUUAAUACCUUUGCUCAUUGACGUUACCCGCAGAAGAAGCACCGGCUAACUCCGUG
rnacentral:rRNA from 1 species